rnacentral:rRNA from 1 species
GAAGAAGCACCGGCUAACUCCGUGCCAGCAGCCGCGGUAAUACGGAGGGUGCGAGCGUUAAUCGGAAUUACUGGGCGUAAAGCGUACGCAGGCGGUUUGUUAAGCGAGAUGUGAAAGCCCCGGGCUCAACCUGGGAACUGCAUUUCGAACUGGCAAACUAGAGUGUGAUAGAGGGUGGUAGAAUUUCAGGUGUAGCGGUGAAAUUCGUAGAGAUUUGAAGGAAUACCGAUGGCGAAGGCAGCCACCUGGGUCAACACUGACGCUCAUGUACGAAAGCGUGGGGAGCAAACGGGAUUAGAUACCCCGGUAGUCCACGCCGUAAACGAUGUAU